rnacentral:rRNA from 1 species
UACGAGGGGGGCGAGCGUUGUCCGGAAUCAUUGGGCGUAAAGCGCGCGUAGGUGGCUUCGUAAGUCCGUUGUGAAAGUCAAAGGCUCAACCUUUGAAUGCCGAUGGAUACUGCGAAGCUAGAGUACGGAAGAGGCGAGUGGAAUUCCUGGUGUAGCGGUGGAAUGCGCAGAUAUCAGGAGGAACACCAAUAGCGAAGGCAGCUCGCUGGGACGUUACUGACACUAAGGCGCGAAAGCGUGGGGAGCGAACAGG